rnacentral:rRNA from 1 species
CGGGGAAUAUUGCACAAUGGGCGAAAGCCUGAUGCAGCGACGCCGCGUGAGGGAAGAAGGUCUUCGGAUUGUAAACCUCUUUUGUCGGGGAAGAUGAUGACGGUACCCGGCGAAUAAGCCCCGGCUAACUACGUGCCAGCAGCCGCGGUAAUACGUAGGGGGCGAGCGUUGUCCGGAUUUACUGGGCGUAAAGAGCGCGUAGGCGGUUUGGCAAGUUGGCUGUUAAAUACCUGGGCUUAACCCAGGUCGGUCGGCCGAGACUGCUGGACUUGAGGGCGGUAGAGGAAGGUGGAAUUCCGGGUGUAGUGGUGAAAUGCUUAGAGAUCCGGAGGAACACCAGUGGCGAAGGCGGCCUUCUGGGCCGUACCUGACGCUGAGGCGCGAAAGCGUGGGUAGCGAACUGAAUUAGAUACUCAGGUAGUCCACGCCCUAAACGAUGGACGCUAGGUGUAGGGGGUAUCGACUCCUCCUGUGCCGAGCUAACGCAUUAAGCGU